GGCAGAGUGUCUUGGGGGAGAAAGGAGAAGAGAGGCAUCUCUCAGCAAUGGAGCCAGCAUCCCUGCAGCCUCACAACCAGCCCAGAACCCACAAUCUAGUUUUCAAGUGGGCCUGGAUUCUUUCCUGAAGAAACAGAAAUGAUUUGGGAGGUUUCAUCUGGAUAGUUGAGAGGUGCUUGGAAGUGGGUGUUUUUCCACCCGAAACCCAAGAUGACUGUGGUUCUAAUCACUUUGUGACAUCAGGACCACCAAGGAGAUGAAACCUCAUUAAUGGA